rfam:Candidatus Peregrinibacteria bacterium RIFCSPLOWO2_02_FTLL_39_10 rifcsplowo2_02_scaffold_7130, whole genome shotgun sequence.
GCCCAGGUGGCGGAAUGGUAGACGCGCUACUUUGAGGUGGUAGUGCUCGAAAGGGCGUGGAGGUUCAAGUCCUCUCCUGGGCA